UACGUAGGGGGCUAGCGUUGUCCGGAAUCAUUGGGCGUAAAGCGCGUGUAGGCGGCCCGGUAAGUCCGCUGUGAAAGUCCAGGGCUCAACCCUGGGAUGCCGGUGGAUACUGUCGGGCUCGAGUCCGGAAGAGGCGAGUGGAAUUCCUGGUGUAGCGGUGGAAUGCGUAGAGAUCGGGAAGAACACCAGUGGCGAAGGCGACGUGCUGGGUUGCACCUGACGCUGAGAUGCGAAAGUGUGGGGAGCAAACGGG
rnacentral:rRNA from 1 species